AUAACAUGGUGAUUCCGAAAAUUGUUAUGUGCGUAGUUUUCUGCCCUAAUCGUUUGACAAUGAUGAAGAACAACCAAAACAAUUGGAUACGAAAACAACACAAAUCACCGACUCAUGGAGCAACUGGUAUUUGAACGAGCACCAUGGGGUAACGCCUGUUCUGCUCUAAAUCUUCUUUCAGCGCUUCCAAGUUAUACUGCGUGUAUCUUUUCUUGCGCAUAAUCUUCACCAAGAUAACCACAACAGUCAUGUACACUCGUUCAAUGAACAUCAUUAUAGACAUCGCCAUACAUAUGCAAAGGGCAACCGUCAGUGGUGGAAUCACCAUUGAAACCCUCAUAUCCUGCCACAUAUCAGUGAAACUCCCGGUGAAAUCAUUGGUUGGUUUCACCUCCGACCCGGCCCGAAACAAGUUUCUCAUGGUGAAAAACGUAAAAUGUAUAGAAACAGUUCAGACCAGGAUGCUCAGAUACAUUGAAGCUAUGCCUUAUAUAGAGAAAUUGUUUGAGCCUUAGCUGAUUAGGUGGAAGAUUGCAAGUGCAUUGAGUGAACCGCUAAAAAUGAACACACCGACAAUGACGCAUUGAGUGAACCGCUAAAAAUGAACACAUCGACAAUGACGCUGACAGUAUUCAAAUCACUUAUCUCUAAUGAAGCCAGCUGUCUCAUCGAGUAAUCUGAUCAUGAACAUCUUAGACACGUGAGUAGGUGAUAAGGAACGUUACGUGUAUCUUUC